rnacentral:rRNA from 1 species
AUUGAACGCUGGCGGCAUGCUUUACACAUGCAAGUCGAACGGUAACAGGCCGCAAGGUGCUGACGAGUGGCGAACGGGUGAGUAAUGCAUCAGAACGUGCCCAGUCGUGGGGGAUAACGCAGCGAAAGCUGUGCUAAUACCGCAUACGAUCUAUGGAUGAAAGCGGGGGACCGUAGGCCUCGCGCGAUUGGAGCGGCCGAUGUCAGAUUAGGUAGUUGGUGGGGUAAAGGCUCACCAAGCCAACGAUCUGUAGCUGGUCUGAGAGGACGACCAGCCACACUGGGACUGAGACACGGCCCAGACUCCUACGGGAGGCAGCAGUGGGGAAUUUUGGACAAUGGGCGCAAGCCUGAUCCAGCAAUGCCGCGUGCAGGAAGAAGGCCUUCGGGUUGUAAACUGCUUUUGUACGGAACGAAAAGGUUUGGGUUAAUACCCUGGGCCGAUGACGGUACCGUAAGAAUAAGCACCGGCUAACUACGUGCCAGCAGCCGCCGUAAAAC